UGGGGAAUAUUGCACAAUGGGGGAAACCCUGAUGCAGCGACGCCGCGUGAGCGAUGAACGCUUUCGAGUCUUAAAGCUUUGUCCUAUGGGAUGAUAAUGACGGUACCAUAGAAGAAAGCCCCGGCUAAUUACGUGCCAGCAGCCGCGGUAAUACGUAAGGGGCGAGCGUUGUCCGGAACUAUUGGGCGUAAAGAGUGCGUAGGCGGCAAAUUAAGUCAGAUGUGAAAACUAAGGGCUCAACCCAUAGAUUGCAUCUGAAACUGAUAUGCUUGGGUCAAGGAGAGGAAAGUGGAAUUCCUAGUGUAGCGGUGGAAUGCAUAGAUAUUAGGAGGAAUACCGGUGGCGAAGGCGACUUUCUGGACUUGAACUGACGCUGAGGCACGAAAGCGUGGGGAGCAAACAGG
rnacentral:rRNA from 1 species